GUGCUCGCUUCGGCAGCACAUAUACUAAAAUUGGAACGAUACAGAGAAGAUUAGACAUCUUGGAUGACAUGAAAUAAUCAAAAUGGUUAAGUUUCAU
rnacentral:snRNA from 1 species